GGUUAAGUUAGAAAGGGCGCACGGUGGAUGCCUUGACACUAGGAGUCGAUGAAGGACGGGACUAACGCCGAUAUGCUUCGGGGAGCUGUAAGUAAGCUUUGAUCCGAAGAUUUCCGAAUGGGGAAACCCACUAUACGUAAUGGUAUGGUAUCCUUACCUGAAUACAUAGGGUAUGGAAGACAGACCCAGGGAACUGAAACAUCUAAGUACCUGGAGGAAGAGAAAGCAAAUGCGAUUUCCUGAGUAGCGGCGAGCGAAACGGAAUCUAGCCCAAACCAAGAGGCUUGCCUCUUGGGGUUGUAGGACAUUCUAUACGGAGUUACAAAGGAACGAGGUAGACGAAGCGACCUGGAAAGGUCCGUCACAGAGGGUAACAACCCCGUAGUCGAAACUUCGUUCUCUCUUGAAUGUAUCCUGAGUACGGCGGAACACGUGAAAUUCCGUCGGAAUCUGGGAGGACCAUCUCCCAAGGCUAAAUACUCCCUAGUGAUCGAUAGUGAACCAGUACCGUGAGGGAAAGGUGAAAAGCACCCCGGAAGGGGAGUGAAAGAGAUCCUGAAACCGUGUGCCUACAAAUAGUCAGAGCCCGUUAAUGGGUGAUGGCGUGCCUUUUGUAGAAUGAACCGGCGAGUUACGAUCCCGUGCGAGGUUAAGCUGAAGAGGUGGAGCCGCAGCGAAAGCGAGUCUGAAUAGGGCGUUUAGUACGUGGUCGUAGACCCGAAACCAGGUGAUCUACCCAUG
rnacentral:rRNA from 1 species